CUUUACUGUAGCUUUGUAUUGGACUUUGAACAGAUCUGUGUAGGAUAGGUGGGAGGCUUUGAAGCCCGGUCGCUGGAUCGGGUGGAGCCAACGUUGAAAUACCACCCUGGUGUGUUUGAGGUUCUAACCUAGGUCCAUCAUCUGGAUCGGGGACAGUGCAUGGUAGGCAGUUUGACUGGGGCGGUCUCCUCCCAAAGCGUAACGGAGGAGUUCGAAGGUACGCUAGGUACGGUCGGACAUCGUGCUAAUAGUGCAAUGGCAUAAGCGUGCUUAACUGCGAGACUUACAAGUCGAGCAGAUGCGAAAGCAGGACAUAGUGAUCCGGUGGUUCUGUAUGGAAGGGCCAUCGCUCAACGGAUAAAAGGUA
rnacentral:rRNA from 1 species